rnacentral:rRNA from 1 species
GCGGGUUGACAUGUCGACGCACACACAGGGAUAACUGGCUGUGGCGCAAGCGUUUCGAUAGCGACGUGGUUUUGAUCUUUCGAUGUCGGCUUCUCCUAUCAUGUAAAGCAAAUUUACCAAGCGUAGGAUGUUCCCCUUUCAAUGGGAAGUGAAGUGGGUUUUAGAGCGCGUCGUGAGGACCGGUUAGUUUACCCUAC